rnacentral:RNase_P_RNA from 1 species
AGCAGACCAGACGGUCGCCGGGGCAACCCGGAGGAAAGUCCGGACUCCAGCGGGCAGGAUGCUGGCUAACGGCCAGGCGCCAUACGGGGCAGAAGUGGGACGGCGUCCCACCAAUGCCCCCAAAGCGACGGACAGUGGCACAGAAAACGUACCGCCCGGCAGCACAAGCGGCCAGGCAAGGGUGAAAAGGUGGGGUAAGAGCCCACCGCGCGGCUGGUGACAGACGUGGCAGGCCAAACCCCAUCCGGAGCAACAUCAUGUAGGCACGCGACGCAGCUCCGGCUGCACAGGGCGCCCGCCCGAGCGUGCGGGUAGAUGGCUCGAGCCUGCCGGCAACGGCAGGCCCAGAGGAAUGACCGUCACCUCGCCAGAGGGACAGAAUCCGGCUUAUCGGUCCGCUCCC